UGUUAAAAAUUUCAUCAAUUUCUACUAUUAAAAACUGACGUGACUAACAUAAUAACCAAACAAAUACACAUGGCGUGCUAGGUGUACCUCAUGUUGACGUAUAUGGACCAUUUUUAACAGUAAAUUGAUGGAAUUUUUAACA
rfam:Gossypium hirsutum cultivar TM-1 chromosome 19, whole genome shotgun sequence